GUUUCCAAGCACACAUGUCAAGGAAAAGUGGGCGAAGAAUUUGUAUCUUGCUUGUGUUUGCUAUGGAAGAACUGUGUCGUGAUAGCCAGCCACACGGUGUGAGUCAACGGCUGAUGGGUGGUCCAGAUUGAAAAGGUUGGUCUUGUCCUCAACUAAUAGGGGAUUGAAUAGUUGUUGUCACUUUUGUUAAACUUGAAUACAUCUUUGUUAGGUUGGAAUUGGAUGCUGUAAAACAAAUACUAACAUUAUUGCUAUAUGAUAAGUUUUGGCAGAAA